CCUAUAUAUCAAGUUGAAAAACUGACAUGUACAAGUUCUGAUUGUUGCCUUUUGGCCCCCAAACAACCCAGCAACCCUAUGCAUAGGGGGUAUCACUGUACUCGGGAGAUGUUGCUGAACAUAUUGGGGUGUUGUUUGGCAGUGACACAUAACAUGAUCUGUUAAUUCAUGCCUAAAGUACAAUGUGUGUAAAAAAAACAGAAAACAAAUUACCAGGGGCGUACCUAGAGCAUUUGGC